rnacentral:rRNA from 1 species
GGGUGCGCUCAUACCAGCGUUAAUGCACAGGAUCCCAUCAGAACUCGACAGUUAAGCGCGCUUGGGCUAGAGUAGUACUCGGAUGGGUGACCUACCGGGAAGUCCUAGUGUUGCACCCU